GUGUCAGCCGCCGCGGUAAUACGUAGGGAGCAAGCGUUGUCCGGAAUCAUUGGGCGUAAAGCGCGCGUAGGCGGCCCGAUAAGUCCGCUGUAAAAGUCAACGGCUCAACUGUUGAAAGCCGGUGGAUACUGUCGGGCUAGAGUACGGAAGAGGCAAGUGGAAUUCCUGGUGUAGCGGUGGAAUGCGCAGAUAUCAGGAGGAACACCUAUAGCGAAGGCAGCUUGCUGGGACGUUACUGACGCUAAGGCGCGAAAGCGUGGGGAGCGAACAGGAUUAGAAACCCCCGUAGUCC
rnacentral:rRNA from 1 species